UGCUGCUGGUGCUGGGUCUUGACGUAUAAGUAUUUUCUCGCUCAACUACUUGGAUUUGAAUCCUCUUUUUUUCCCAGGGCUGAAAACCAAACACGAAAAAUGAGGUAGGGAUAAGGUUGUUAGGACAUAGCAAUUCACGUGGCAAGAACCUUUUCACAAACAAAUUAAUUUCAACAAAAUUUGAUAUUCAAACUGAUGUAUGAAGCUGUCUGUACUGUAUUAUCGAACACCCACCUGCUGUCUUUUCAUAUCCUCCUCUUUUUCUCGUCGUAGUACAUUAUAUUCUUCCAAUAUAGCCAUCAGAGGUACCUACGUAGAUAUCAUUUGUUUAUGCUGUUAUCAAAUCAACAAACCACAGCAUCAUACUAUUAAAGGGAGUUCACAAAUGCUGGACCAAGAGUAAAGAAAUUGAUACAUUCUCCGGCUUCUGAAAACGUUUCAGGUCAACAUAAAUAAAGCUAGUAGUCUAGCAGUUUGCUGCAUGAUUUGACUCUUGCUUAAGUUUUCUUUUAUCAUUUUUUUUCUGGAGUUGCUAACUCUGCUAUAUAAGAUGGUUUAUGGUGUUACUUGUUUGACUGAGUUUGCAACGUGGCACAUUUCAUAAUAGAAGAUGCUAGAAUUUCAUCAUUGCUCCUAUCUUAAGAAUUUGACAACUAUAUAUGCUAGAAUUUAACAUUGGCUUUAUAAGGAAGAGGUUCCCAUUUGUAUCCGUAUGUUAAGUGUUUUUAAUAAAGGAAAGUUCGAUCUUCAAUAUUAAAUGGCUUGAUUAUAUGAUAAAAGCAAAUUGUUCAUAGAAUGGCACCUGCAAGUUUUCUCUAUUUUAAUACUUGAUAUCAAUCAGUUUAUCUGAGGCACUAACAGUGUCUACGACUAUAACAUCAAGAAAUAUAUUAUGAUGAGAUUCAUUAUGCAUAUUUAUUUAGCCUCGCAUAAAUGCUGGAUGUUUUCUGAAUAUUCAAAAUCUCACUUCUUCUCUUAUAAGAAUUAUCUAGACUGUUUCUUCUAUACCUUUUGAGCAUAAAUAUUCUGAGUGUUGCUGAGUGUAAGAUAUCUUACCUGAUCAUACAAGAAAACUUUGUUUCUUUCUUCUUCCCAACUUCUGGUCAUUUUUAUUAGCAUAUCUACCAAAGCUGGAAAUUUCAAUCAUGGUAUGUAAGUACAUGUGGGUUUGCAGCCGGUUGAUCUAAAUUAUCUGUUUUAAUCAUACAUAGAUGUACCUGGUAUUCUGCUGACCAUUAUGCGGGCUCGUUCAGCACGUCUCAAGUUUUUGUGAGCUCCUCUACUGACUGAGUAUCGAUUCUCAUCCUGAUAGCACACUUGGAUUGUGAAACAUACUAUUGAUAGCUUAACCUUUAAACCUAGUUAUGAAGAUCGAUUCAAAUGAAAAUUCUAACCCUGCUAUAUUCUUCUAGCCAGCGCUCUUCAUCACGUGCCAGCAUCCACUUCUCCACUUUCUCCAUGAUAGCCUUCCUGCUAGAAGCCUCUUCUUUUGCUCUAGAUAUCUGUUCAUCCAUGCUCAAGAGGAGAUCAGAAUGAUCAAUCUCCCCUGUGGAAAAUGUAAGUGAAUUUCAGGUCUGAUGUUCUAAAAUAAAUAAGCAUGUAUAGUUUUUAAAAGGAAAUAGGCACACAUUACUUAGUUUCUUAGAUUCACCUGAGUUUAUGAGGUUAAUGAUAUUGUUCAUCUCUUCCCUUGAAGGAAUCUCCACAUGUGAUUUCUUGCAUAUCAACUCCAGCUCCUCCUGCUUCUUCUGGAAUAGCUCCUUCAUUUUGCUUGCUUUUAGUUGAUCCAGUCUCUUGACUUCAGCUUCAGUCUUGUAAAAAGUUACGGGUUUCUUAAACAAUUGAGUUUCUGAUAUUUUGUGGAUCAUUUAAGUUAGAUACCUACCUGCUGGACUAUUUCUAGAGUAAGACUUCCCGGGUCUGUUACUUCUGCUGAUGAGAGUGACAACAGAUGGAUUACAUGAGAAAAUGGGUGUCGCUCACUAUAUGGUGUGUCCAUAAGGUUCCACAGAUUUGAAAGUGCUUUGCCUAAAUGGUGAAGCUGUAAAAUAUAAUAUAUCAAAAAUAUGACAAACUAGUGAAAUGGAAAAUACAGAAAUACUUGAAGCCUCCUUACGCAGUUAUUUUACAGUAGCCAACCAACUGGAUAGUACUCCAAUAAUAUAUCAAAAGUUUAAUACUUUUAUACCCCAGAUGUCUCUUUUAUUUAUUUAUUUUUGAAGGAAAAAAACUGUCACCACUAUAGCCAUUUGAGCUAACAGAUGUUUUCAAGUUCCUUUAAUAACAGAAAAGCUUUUCAAAUUUAACAAUGUUUACA
rnacentral:lncRNA from 1 species